ACAGACCUGCUGACAUGUGCAAGAGUGACACGAAGCAUUAUCUUUUACACAGCUUCAACAGGUUAACUCCUAGAAUGUAAACAUUUCAAGAAUAGACGCAUAGGGUAUGUAUACAGAAGAAACUAUUUUCUUUCUAGAGCAGCUGGAAAUAAAUUAAAGGUAUAUUGAGCAAGCUGAUACAUUUGAAAAUCCUAGCCUGGACAUUAAACAAAUAUAUGAAAUAUUACACCCCAGGAUAAACAGCAAAUAUUUUGAGUUCUUUAACAAAUAUUUGCAGACGUGCACGUUGAUGGACCAGGUAAUCAAAGGAACUGCAGUUGGGUAGCAUGAUUUAAAACAGAUGCAAAAUCUAUGUGAAGUCUCUAAACACUCUUGUACCAUGCUUCUUGUACUCGGGUUCUUCUGGAACAGAACUUAGCCAUUCUGUGUGCCCUGUUCCUGGCACUUCCUUUGGCUUGGGAACAUUUGAGGUCUCCAGCUAUGUUUGUCAAAAGAGGGAAUCUUCCCAGAGGAAUUUUAUCUGUCUGCUCCUGGAACCAAGUGCAGCAACAAGUUGUUACCUCAAGCCAAGGUUUAUGAGGCUUAGAAUCACUUUAUUUACAUGUGUUUUCCAGAAGCGAAGGAAGCAUUUCAGACAGUUUCAUUAAAGAGAAACAAGUCUAUCUGCAGAAGGAUCUGUCAUGCGCGAUUUUGUUUACUUCUGUCCGUUUGCUAACCUCAGACUUCAGUGAGUCACGGUAUUUUUACUGCCAUACUAUCCAUUCCAUAGGCUUUAGCACACUCCUCCAGUUAAUUAUUAACAAAGUCCAAAGGUAUCCACCCCUCUCCCACACAGAUAUUCCUGCUAAACACAGCUCCAUAAGAUCUUCUUACUUACAACUGUUCAUUACAGUUUGGACAAGUACAGUGUUAAGGAGCUGAUGCUUUGGUGUUCCGUAAAUUCAGCAGGUUUGAACGUCAUGGUUCCUGCUGCUGCUUGCAUAUCCAAACAAAGGGGACCUGCAACAGUCCUGAAGACAUUUACUAGCUUAACUCUUCUUCAUCCACUUGAGAAUCACCUUCUUUUUCAGGAUUCCCUGUAGCUACCUUCUAAGAAAAUGAGCUCUUUUCUCUUUCCUGAUUCUUUGGCUCACUCAGUGCUGUCAUGCUCUCCACUUCUUUGCCUAGGCCUGACUGUGAUUUGGUGCCAGGCAGGUUCCAGCAGUACUGCAGAUGGAAGAAAUCAGACAGCAUUUCUUCAUCACAGCACACUGUCUCUCCAGUGCAUGGGGCAUAUGCCAGGAAUUAGAUCAGGAAAUGAUUUUUAUUUCCUGCAGCUUUUAAAAGUUAUUUUUCAGCUGAACAGGUCUCCUAAUCUGGUUCACAGAAUGGCCCUAAAAACUGCUGGUAGUGAGGGAACAGUGAGAACGUAGUGCUGAGACGUUCCUGAGUCUACAGUAUCAGGAAUCUACGGCCUUACUGCUGCUCGCCUCAGAUGAGCUGUCUCUGAACAUCUAACAAGAAAUAAGCUUGUUGAUGUGUCCUGGCACAGUAAAUCUGCAUGCAUUUUCAAAUCUCAUCUGGCCUCUUCCACAAAACAAGAUAUCUUGUUUGGAAAUCAUUUGGUCAAACAUUUGAAACAGUUUUGGACUGUCUUGCUUUCAAAAACUUGUUAAUCGUGAUUUUCACAUGACAAAGCAAAGCAAAAAAAAAAGCAAAAAGAACAGUGAGAAAUACCUCAACGAGGUCAUGGCCAGUUGAAGUGUGAAGAUAAAAGCGGCACCUGAAAAGGAUCUGCCCAACUGCAAGCUUCUUUUACUUAAAAAUCUGAUCUGUGGAUAUGUAAUAAUUGAGUAAAGAGCCCAAAAAUGAAACAUGUGAUCGUUCUUCAUAAAAGGUUGUUCUAGCAUGUGCUCAAAGUAUCAGUCAUGAAAGCUGGAAAAAAUGGGUGUAGCACAGUGAGAGUUAGUCAUGGCCUGGAAAACAGGGUAGGAAAACAAUUUAAGCAGAAUAGUUACUCAGCUAAUUGCUUUGAAUAAGUAUCAGAUUUACACACCCUAGCACCCAAACUCAAAAUUUCUACUUGAUAUGAUGUACUUGAAAACCUACACUGACAGAAAUAUCUUUCUCUUUCUCCAGGUUGAGAAAAAAAAUAAAAUUAGGUGUUUUCGAAGACUGUAUUUAGGCUUGCAAAAGCAACUAGAAAAAAGAAACCACUUGCUUUAAGGCUCUUGGAGCAGUGCAAAAGUGUGGAUACAAAGUCCUAGUAACUCCCAGUUUGUUUUCAACUUGCUCUUUCCAUGUGCUGCCACUCUGCCACUCUCAAAGCAGCAUGCAACCUGUACUUUCCCUUGAAUUGCCUUAAAAAUAAAAAAAAGGUCAAAACCCAACGCUUAACUUUAAACUCACCUUCAAAAGCAGCUUAAGCCAAACCACUGGACUUUGCAGGAAAACAAAUAUGAGUGCACAUGACUCACGCUGACUCUGCUUGGGUGCUCCAGCAGAAACAUAACUUUUAAAAUCACUGCAUCUGCUUGCUAAAUUAAUGUACUUAUACCUUUGGUGCAUGAAGAACGCGGGCUGAAGUGCAAUCCCUAGUAUGAAGGCAAACAUCACUUCCAACUGUAGUUUUGAUUUCUGUGUCUGGGCUGCAAAGAGCUGAGAUCACAGGAAGCUGACAUAUACAUGGUAAUUCCUUCCUAAACUCUGCAUAAUACAUGAGAAAAGGCGCAUAAACUACUGAAGCUUAGAUUAAGGCUAUAACUAAAGCCAGACAAGAAUAAAUAAGUAUUGAUCAAAGUAUGCUGGGAGAACUUACCAUUUGUAGUGUGUGCUAAUCUAAGCAUGCAAGGACAUACGCAUGCACUGCAUGGGUAUUUAAAUGGACACAGUACAAGUCUUAAAGAGAACCUAUCAUAAGCUGCUAAUUGUAUUAAGAAACAUGAUCCACCAUGCAUUUUUUAUUGCUUCAGUGUUCUGUAUUGAUCUUCAGGAACAUGGUGGAUUUUAGCAUGAUUAUUAAAGAACAGUAGGCAGAGCACAGGGCAUUAGAGGUAUUAGAGGAAAGAAGGGUUGGUUGUUGGAAGCAGCCACUAGAAAGGAGUACAGAACAGUUGCAAAUACUAAAGAGGCUUGAGAGUAAAGGAUAGCUUUAACUGAAGAGUGGGAAGAACGAAGGGCAAAAAAUAUGUUGCAAUAGUAAAUAAUGAAUAAGACAUGAAUCACAGUGAUGGUGCUGUUGACAGAGAGGUUUAAAGAUGUCGCCCAAGAGGAGAACCUCAGUGUGACAAAUGAGACACCAAAUAUGAAAUGCAGACUGGGGAAGAAGAAGCAGCAGAGAAUUUGCUGAGCCAACGGGGCAAAAGCAGGGAAGUGAAAGGCCUGGAUAGGAAAAAUGCUGUCUUUGAAGCAGGAAACAUUUAAAUACUAUUCAAUCUGCUAAAUCCUGCUGAAUCUGGUAAUAGAAUGCCAAGUGAAACCAAAAUGCACAGGAAAGGAAUCUUACACUGGGGGAGGAAGACACUUGGAUGAGAGGUAGAGCGUAUUUAGGAAAGAACCAAACAGAUGAUUGUUAAGAGUACUUGCUUGCUCCUGUAAACUAUUUUCAAUCUAAUACUUUCCCCGAUGGUUGUUUGACAUGUUACAGAAGGGUCAGGAGUGGGCUUCCCCUCUGGAAGAUCUUGGACAGGGCUUCCCCUUUCAUUUACCCAUAAUGUGUGAAUCAUUUGUUACUGUAAGAAAGGCAUUUGCUCACCAACAACAGUUUUUCUUAAAAACAAAAAAACAAAAAAAUCACCUUUUUAUUAAAAUGGAGAAAUAAAUGAGUUGCAGCAAUAAUAUUGGGGGAACUAUCUCAUUAAGCAAAAUGUAAAUCCACAAUUCUUUCAAUUGUUUUCAAUAACAACAGCCAGCCAAUAGUAAUUAUGAAAGCAUCAGCAUGAAAGGGAUAUUGUUUAUUAGAGAAUUCCUAAACACUUUGGGCCAAGAAGGGUUAAAUGGUAAGUUUUGAGCAGCAGCAUCUUAAAUACAACUGUUCAGACAGGAGACAGGAAGAGAUGUACUGACAUCUGGAGCAUUUGGUCUUGAAGUUCUGACAAACAAUGAACUAUUUCACUAGUAAGUAAGAAGUAAUGAGUAAAUUCACUUUCAAAGUUGGAUAGAAAAUAUCUUAGAAAUGACUGUCUUGGUCCACAGUCUACAUCAAGUGGAACAGCAUCUUAAACAUCUGUAAUGAAAAUUAAAUAUAGUUAAAUAUAGCUAUCAACUUUAAUCUCUUAUUUUGUAGGAAAAGUAAACCUUACUUAGAUUAAAAAAUAAUCCAAUAUCUAGAGAGUUUUGUGGAAAAUUGGGCUUGUGUAAGCCUGUAACCUGCUCCCUGGUUCUGUCCAGGACUUGUCAUAUUAAAAUGAGGCAGGUGUGCUUGAGAUCAUUUAUCUUAGAAUGUGUUCAUUUACCACUCUUAGAAGUUUACUCUUAUAUAGCCCAGAGACCUGCAUCUAAAGCCAGCCAGCCCUCAAAGACAGCCUGCCCUAAAACAGCAGUUAAUCCCAGCACAGACCUUUCUGUGAAACUUCUGCAGUGGGACAGCAAGAAAGGUAAGGAUGGGCUCAUCUCACAUUUGCCUCUGUUUCACCAGUUCGCUUGUGUAGGUGGGUUGAUUUGGAGAGAGAACCAGUCCUUUAAGAAUAAUUUGCAUAUUGCAUAUGUACGUAAGCCAUGUAUUUAACUGAUAUAACUCAUGUUGUCAUCUUCCAUUUAUUAUCACUCAGGACUUUUGGCUUCACGUUACUCUGACAGAUCACAAGUGGGCAGGAUUCAGCCUGCACAAAAUUAUGCACAAAAGUCUUAAAUUACACUCAAAAGUUUUUAUAUACUUCUGUUAGUGACUUCUGUUUGUAAAGCUUGCUCUCUUGUGAAAGUCUGUCCACCUCUUUUCCUUUAAGAAGAGUAAUACGGUUACACUGAAAUAAUUUUCAGUGAGUGAACAGUAGCUCAUCAUUAAAUCAUUAGCCACAGAAAGAGAAAAGGAACUUGUGUGCUUUUCCAGCUUAUGAAACACUGUAUGUGCUGUUUGGGGCUGCAGUUUCUGUUCAGAUAAAUGUCUAAUGGAAAGGCCCCACUUUAUGGCUUGUAGUGACCUUGUUAAGAAAGUCUUUCAUGAUGACACAGCAGAACUGAGACACAUUGUCUGUUAAAAUUCCUAUCACUGGAUAAGCAAGAGAAACCACAGCAAAUAUUUGAGUGCAGGGGCAGCCCACUUCCUGCAUGUCACCAGGAGCUAGAGGAGCUGGCAAAGGCACAGCAAGCCUUUGCUGAUCCCAUUCCCAAAGUUGUGAUCCAUGGUCUGACUGGAUCCGCUCACCUUCUUCCACACAGAUGCUGCAAGACUCCCUGCCUGUUGUUUAACAGCCAGGAAGACAUUCUUGUUUUGCAAAUGAAAACAUUUUAUUACAGAAAGACUACGUGUGAUGGAGACCUCUGACAAAGCCAGCUAGAUGCUGAAAAGAUGGAAAAUCAGCCACUGCACAAGUCUGACUGCUUGUUUCACAACUGUCAAUCCAUUGAGCAACACCAAUAUUGUUAUUGCACAUUAAUAGAAUGCAACAGUAAUUAUAGCUUAUUCCAUCUAAAAGCCUGGUAAAUAAUCUAAUUUCAGAUUUCUAAAAGCUUGCACAUUUGAACAGCUAAUGGAUGUUUCUGAUACUUACUAUUAUUAAGAUUCGAAUUGUGAUACAAAUUUAUGCAACCCUAUCAGGAAGCUGCAUGCAGAAUCACUUUCAGUACCAAAGAAAUCAGCAAAGUGCCCUGCACAAAUGUUUGAAAUGUGAGAUGGAUGUACUGCAGAUACAUCCUGCAACACCAGCCAUUUUUAUGGACAAAACACAUUUUAUGGAAAAGAAAAAACUCCCAGUGGAGGGGUCUUGGGCUACAUGGUACUCUUCACUGACUGCUACAGACAGAGGCUGCUGCAAGCUUGACUAUCAGAGAGCGUAGGAGGGGGAACCCAUGGCUUGUCAACAGGAAAUGGCCCACAAAUUAUUUUAAAUUCCGAUAAACAUUUUAAAGUUUUUACUCAGUGUGGGAUCACAUUAAUGUGCAACCCAGUAAAACACACACGAAAUAUCUCUUAGUCCUCAGGAAAGACAGCUAAGCUCAAGAGGUAGGGCAAAGCCUAAACAACUUGGCACGCUUCUCACUGCAAAAGCAAAGCCCUGGCUGUGGCAAAUCUCUAAAAUCCAUAAAUUCAAAAGGCAAAAGCCUGGAAGUAUAGUUUUUGUGGUUUUUUUUUUUUUUUUUUUUUUUUUGUUUUGUUUGUUUUUUAUUAUUUUUUAUUUUAUUUUAUUUUAUUUUACUAGCAGAAGAAGUAUGCAUGUGAACAAACCAUCUAAAGCUAGGUAAAUUUGGGUAGCUUCCUUGAAAGAGGGCAAAGAAUAGUAUUUUUAGGAGCUGAUCAUUAACUCAAAUCAAAACAAAAUAUAGUUGUAAUUGUACAGAAGCUCAUCUUAACUGGUUAUAUUUUCAGGGAAACGAAAAAAGGAAGAAAAAAAAAAACCAGCAACAACAACUGAGCAAAAGCAAACAAUGAAAAGCUGAUCUCCCCAGAUAAUAUCUCUUACUGUCUCGUUAUCAUCUGAGCUCCCUUACAUACAGAUCAUGUGGAAAUAUGAAGGUGUUAAAAUCAGGUAUUAACUUUCUAAACCAGCUAAUUCUUGCAGCAUUGGGUGUUGGCCUGGCUGGAGCACAACUGGUUGAGAAGUUGGGCUGCCUCCAGAACACAUUUGAAAAGGCCUUCAACUACUGUAAUGUCAGCUUUCCUUAGCUUUGGUUUUCUGCUGUUAGCAGCUGCUGUUGAUUAGUUUUCACUGAAGCGUGUUCUCUGGUUGUGCUACAAGCUCUAUCAUUGCUGUUUCUGCAGUGAGUGCUCCAGCAUACAGAUCCGUGUGCUUAACCUAGAGGCUGAGAAAUGUAUGAAACUGAAGAUGGUGCUUGCUGUAAUACAGCUGAGGCUCCAGGGCAGAGCUGUCUUUCUUUCCCUUCUGGUCCUGUGUUUCUAUUUUCUGAGCUGUAGGAAUAAAAAUAAGCAGAAGCCAUGAGCGUAUGCUCAAUAUACGUAAAUGAUCUUCCCUUUGGAAGCACAUGAAACAGGUUGUGUUUUCUCCAUUGACUACUCCAGACAGUACUGAGCAAGAAUAUGAAAUUAACAGAGCAAUUAUACAAUUACAAAAAGCAAGCUACUGAUAUAUAUACAUAUAUAUUUGGUGGUUUUUUUUUUUUUGUUUGUUUGUUUGUUUUUGGUUUUUGUUUUUUGUUUUUUGUAGUGAUAACCACAACAAUUAUGAGGAUAAUGAAGAAAUGUAGUAUUCAUGAAGCAGUCAAGGAGAAGUAAUGAGGGGGGAGGGGGAAGGCUGACUCCUUUAUAAAACCACAGCAUUUGUGUUUUGGGUUACCUUGAGAGGAUU